AGAGUUUGAUCAUGGCUCAGAUUGAACGCUGGCGGUAACUUUUAAACAUGCAAGUCGAGCGGUAACAGACAUAAAGAUUCAGCUUGCUGAAUCUGGUGCUGACGAGCGGCGAACGGGUGAGUAACGCGUAGGAAUCUACCCAGUAGCGGGGGAUAGCCCGGGGAAACCCGGAUUAAUACCGCAUAAGCCCUAAGGGGGAAAGGGGGCAGCUUGCUGCUCUCACUAUUGGAUGAGCCUGCGUAAGAUUAGCUUGUCGGUAGGGUAAAGGCCUACCAAGGCAACGAUCUUUAGCUGGUCUGAGAGGACGAUCAGCCACAUUGGGACUGAGACACGGCCCAGACAUCUACGGAUGGCAGCAGUUAAGAAUAUUGGACAAUGGGGGCAACCCUGAUCCAGGUAUACCGCGUGUGUGAAGAAGGCCCUAGGGUUGUAAAGCACUUUAAUCAGAGAAGAAGCAUUUUAAAUUAAUACCUUAAUAUGUUGACGUUACCUGAAGAAUAAGGACCGGCUAACUCCGUGCCAGCAGCCGCGGUAAUACGGAGGGUCCAAGCGUUAAUCGGAAUUACUGGGCGUAAAGCGCGCGUAGGCGGUUUAGCAAGUUGAAUGUGAAAGCCCUGGGCUCAACCUAGGAACUGCAUUCAAAACUACUAAA
rnacentral:rRNA from 1 species